rnacentral:lncRNA from 1 species
AUAGAAACAAAGUCAGUAACUAAAACAAAAGACAUGAAAAAGAAACAACGAGGGAUUAGCAAAGUUGCUAAUCCCCAGCAACGGCGCCAAAAAUUUGAUGCGAUGAAUUAACUUAACACACAAAUUAAACCCUCUUGUUGUCCAAUUGUAGUAUAAAUACAAGUAGGGAUCGUUCUAAACCGGGGAUUAGGAGGGCUUGCUAAAACCUCUAAACUGACUUAAAAACAUAUAAA